rnacentral:rRNA from 1 species
CGGGUGAGUAACACGUGGGCAAUCUGCCCUGCACUCUGGGACAAGCCCUGGAAACGGGGUCUAAUACCGGAUAUGACCUUCCUCCGCAUGGGGGUGGGUGUAAAGCUCCGGCGGUGCAGGAUGAGCCCGCGGCCUAUCAGCUUGUUGGUGGGGUGAUGGCCUACCAAGGCGACGACGGGUAGCCGGCCUGAGAGGGCGACCGGCCACACUGGGACUGAGACACGGCCCAGACUCCUACGGGAGGCAGCAGUGGGGAAUAUUGCACAAUGGGCGAAAGCCUGAUGCAGCGACGCCGCGUGAGGGAUGACGGCCUUCGGGUUGUAAACCUCUUUCAGCAGGGAAGAAGCGCAAGUGACGGUACCUGCAGAAGAAGCACCGGCUAACUACGUGCCAGCAGCCGCGGUAAUACGUAGGGUGCGAGCGUUGUCCGGAAUUAUUGGGCGUAAAGAGCUCGUAGGCGGCUUGUCGCGUCGGAUGUGAAAGCCCGGGGCUUAACUCCGGGUCUGCAUUCGAUACGGGCAGGCUAGAGUUCGGUAGGGGAGAUCGGAAUUCCUGGUGUAGCGGUGAAAUGCGCAGAUAUCAGGAGGAACACCGGUGGCGAAGGCGGAUCUCUGGGCCGAUACUGACGCUGAGGAGCGAAAGCGUGGGGAGCGAACAGGAUUAGAUACCCUGGUAGUCCACGCCGUAAACGUUGGGAACUAGGUGU